rnacentral:rRNA from 1 species
AACGAACGCUGGCGGCAUGCCUAACACAUGCAAGUCGAGCGAGAAAGGGCUUCGGCCCCGGUAAAGCGGCGCACGGGUGAGUAACACGUGGAUAACCUACCCCUUGGUGGUGGAUAACCUUCCGAAAGGAGGGCUAAUACAGCGUAAGACCACGACUUCGAAAGAGGUUGGGGUAAAAGUGGGCCUCUGUACACAAGCUCACGCCAGGGGAUGGGUCCGCGGCCCAUCAGCUAGUUGGUAGGGUAACGGCCUACCAAGGCGAAGACGGGUAGCUGGUCUGAGAGGAUGAUCAGCCACACUGGCACUGGAACACGGGCCAGACUCCUACGGGAGGCAGCAGUGGGGAAUAUUGGACAAUGGGCGCAAGCCUGACCCAGCCACGCCGCGUGAGUGAUGAAGGCCUUCGGGUUGUAAAGGACUCUUUUACCCGGGACGUUGAUAAU